rnacentral:rRNA from 1 species
CACGUAGGGGCCGAGCGUUGUCCGGAAUUAUUGGGCGUAAAGCGCGCGCAGGCGGUUUCUUAAGUCUGAUGUGAAAGCCCCCGGCUCAACCGGGGAGGGUCAUUGGAAACUGGGAAACUUGAGUGCAGAAGAGGAAAGUGGAAUUCCAAGUGUAGCGGUGAAAUGCGUAGAGAUUUGGAGGAACACCAGUGGCGAAGGCGACUUUCUGGUCUGUAACUGACGCUGAGGCGCGAAAGCGUGGGGAGCAAACAGG